UACGUAGGAUCCAAGCGUUGUCCGGAAUUACUGGGCGUAAAGCGUGCGCAGGCGGCUUCUCAAGUCAGGGGUGAAAGCCCAGAGCUCAACUCUGGAAUUGCCUUUGAGACUGAGUGGCUUGAGUACGAGAGAGGUGAGUGGAAUUCCCAGUGUAGAGGUGAAAUUCGUAGAUAUUGGGAAGAACACCGGUGGCGAAGGCGGCUCACUGGCUCGUAACUGACGCUCAUGCACGACAGCGUGGGGAUCAAACAGG
rnacentral:rRNA from 1 species